GUAAGAAUGUAGGGAAACUUGCAUUUAGAGACAAUACAAAAUCUCGUACUGUCCGACAAAGAAACUGAAUUGCUGGGAACUCGUAAAGCUAACGAAACGACAACGUAGAGAUAAAAAAACUCAAGCGUGAACGUGGUGAAAACAGAAAAAAUUCGUUAGAUGGCAUAAGGUUAAAUCCUAAGUGUCCAAUCAAUCGACAAUCAGCAGCCAAGCCUAGAAAUAGGAAGGUUCAACGACUAUUCCUCUUGAGGGAAGUACACACAAGCGUGUGGAAGUGGUUUCGCCGUACUGGGUAAUGCUAACGGAUAAGAUAUAGUCUGUGCUUGCAUGAAAGUGUAAG
rnacentral:ncRNA from 1 species